UGUACUGGCGUAGAAAAUAUGACGUACUAUCUCACCAUAGGAGCGAUGAGUGUCUAUUGAGUUAAGGCAAUGGGUCUGCUUGCCCCUGAUUGUGUGUAGUCCCUUCACAGUGGUGAAGAGAGAGCUGAAGUUAAUCCUCAGUGACACCAUGAUUAUCAGAGACUGAGAAGGAAAAAGUAACAAAUUCCACAGAAUUGCAGCAUCAGUUAGAUAAAACAAAGCAACAGCAUCAAGAAUAGCAAGCUCUUCAGCAAAGCACUACAGCAAAACUUUGAGAAGCUCAGAAUGAUUUGGAAAAAGCGCUUCGUCAAAUUGGUGAUAAGGACCAAAAGACCCAGAACCUUGAAGCCUUAUUACAGGAGAGUAAAGAAAAUACUUCUUUCCUAGAAAGGGAAAGAGAAGAUUUUAUGCAAAAAUUCAGGCUGGUGAAGGAGAGACCGCUGUUCUUAAUCAAUCGCAGGAAGAAAACCAUAUAUUACAGGAACAAGUAACUCAACUAAAGGCCCAGGAGAAUUUGCAUGACCAGGUGCAAGAGCAGAAGGCGCUUCUUAGAGCUGCACAAGACUGCGUCCUCUCCCUAGAAGCCAGCAUCAAUGAAUUAAAUAGUCAAUUAAGUGAAAGAAAGGAGAAGGUCUCCCAGCUUGACAUACAGAUUAAAGCCAAAACUGAAUUAUUACUAUCAGCAGAAGCAGCAAAAACUGCUCAAAGAGCAGAUCUUCAAAAUCAUUUGGACACAGCUCAAAAUGCAUUACAAGA